ensembl:lncRNA
GCUUCCUCUAAAUGCAGCCGCUGAAAGGAAGCAAAAUGUCUUCCUGUAAAAAUCGGCCAAAGCACCCGGUGGAUAUAUUGUUUUACAGCAGAACCGAGGGCGAGGGUGAAACUGUAAACACGCGUUGAGUCUGACGUCUACUUUGGACACGAAUGCAAGCAGGAAGACAGGUGGUGUUUUCCCAGCUUCCCGCCCACUCUGCGAAGGAGUUAGGAGGAGGGUUUUUGAGCAGGCAGCCGGACUUUGGAGCAUAUAACUUUUUAAAAAGAACCGUGAGUGGUGGUAGCCAGACUUGCACAGAUCCUUGCAGAGAUUUAAGCUAUUUGCGGUGUGUGAAGAGUCCAAUAUGGAAACAGAGAAAGAAAAACAAAGGCCUCCACACAGCCAGUUGAUUUCCGUGCCUCCCAAGGAUACAGUCCGUCUCCUGGAGGUAUACGUAAAACGUAGCCUCAGCCUAAAUGAUGGCACUCAUGGGCUUAAAGUGGCUGGGAGGAAAGAAAAAUGGGUGACAGUGCCAAAAAGACAAAGACAUCAUUCCAGCGACCCCUCCCUUCACUUGGCCCCUUCACUUGAGAAUGUGGAUGGCAAAGAAAUUGAUACGUUCUCUCCGGUCGAACAUGUACCAAACCAAACCGAGAAAUGUCCCGAAGAACCAGAGAAACCGACAAAAAAAUCAAAGAAGAUCAAGAAAACCUCAUUUUGGAAAAAUAUAAUUGGCUUUUUCACCCGGAAGGACAAUGAGGAUAAAGACGAUGAGCAGGACAGUCCACCAGACAAGUCCAAGUCCUCUGAGACAGUAACUAACUGCUUGCCCAUUACACCAGUCACUUUACCAAAGAAGUCAACAAGAAAAAAGUCCCUAAGAAGAAGAUUCUCAAAAAGGCAGCCAUCUCUGACAAAACCAAACAAACCUGCUGACAUCACUGGAGUUGAAGCUGUUGUCAGUGUAACACCAACAUACUCUUAUUAUGAGAAGGUGUCAGAGGAACUGGAAAAAAUUGUCCAUGAGGUCAAAGAAAAAGAAGAGGUUGCACCACUUUCAGAUGAGGAAGUAAUUAACAGGAUCAUUGCUCUGAUGAAGGAACAGGGUGAUGCCAUAGAUGUCAAGAUGAAAGAUAACCCCACCCUGAGCUACUUCUUUCAGCAGAUGACAUACUCUUCCUUCCAAAAGCUUGCUGAUGCAUAUGUUGAGAAAGAAGGUUCAUCGACCCAAAAACCUCCAACUGUCUUACCAACAGCACCUGAGCUGGUCAAACUGGCUUUCACACUCGACUUCACGGCCAGGAUAGCCGGACUCUCCAAACAGAAUGUAGGCCACAUUACUGGUCUGGGAAACCGUUAUCUACAGGACCGAUUUGAAUACAGACAGGCAUGCACAGAUCAUCCAUGGUCUGACAGUGAUGACUGAGAAGCAGCCAAGCAGAAACAUAGCUGCACAUUAAAUUUUGACAACCCCUCUUAGCACUGUAGAUGUGGUUAAGGAUGCAUUGCACACCUGAGUUCCUUUUUACAAAGGGGCUAGCUAAGAAAUGCUUUAAGCCUGCAAAGAGACACAUGCUGUAAUCUAUGUUAUGUUUUCUUAAUAUUGUUUUUGAGUGCGUGUUAAACUAUAAAUUCGCAACAGAACGACUGCUGAGAAAACUGUUUGGAUGUUGUUUGAGUGCAUGAGUGUUGUCUUUCACAUUAAGGUUCAACUGAGAUAUAAGUAAACUACUAACAAACACAGCUGGUUUCACAAAACUAAAAAAACUGUGACACUUUGCUAGGUUGAGUUGUGUAUAUGAAUUUGUAAAAAUGUGAAAGAUCAGUGCAAUUUUUUUAUGUAUAAGCUAAACAACUUGGUGCAAGGUUCUUGAAUAUUUUGGUAUUCUAAAAUGUGACUGAUGUUUGUUUUUCAUGAAUGCUGGCAUUCAUAUUAAAUACUAAAAAGAUGUUUAUAUUUUUUUCCAUUGAGAAUUGAUGUAUAUCUAAAGGCUGGCUUAAUUUAAGAUCAACUUGACAAUAAAAACAGCAAAAAUUAAGACUUGCAUCUCCCUUAAUUUGUUGGAAAAAUAAUUAUUGUGAAGAGUAUUAAAAAAAAUUCAUUAUCCUUCCACCACCUGAGAAACAGAAAAAUGAAGCUAAUAGAACAAAUCAAACAUCAGCCUUAGGCUAUUACAUACCUGCUCAAACCUGUUUAGGAGAGGCUAGAGAUCUCUGUUUAUACCUGUUAGGAAGCAGGCUUCAAGAAAUAAAGCCAUCAGCUUCUGACAUACAUGGGCCACACCUCUUAACCUUUGAAUUCAGGUGUUUUCAAUCCCAUUGCCACGGCUAUAUAAAAUCAGGCUCCUAGCCAUGUGGUAGACCUUUCCAAACUUCUGUGGAAAUAAGAGCUCACCGAAUUCCAGCAUAGUACUGUAACGGGAGUUGCUCGUGUAGGUAUAAUGUGCAAGUGGCUCGCUACUUUUGUCCAUACAAUGUAUGCAGCUGCAGGUUGACAAAAACUUAGAAACUCUGUUCUAACAGAUGAAUGCAAGCUGAAGCAAUAAAAAGACCUUGGGUCAGCCACACCUUUGUGUUUUACAACUAACAUAUAACAACAUAUUUUAAAAGCUGUACAACCCUGACAAUAAAACAGACUUGUUAAAACUACUGCAAUUAUAAAUAAAGUAUGUUUUCAUCAGCUUUGCAAUAAAUAAAAAAAGCUUUACAU